rnacentral:ncRNA from 1 species
CGGCGAGCAGUAACAACGAACCGGGAGAAGUCAGCAGAAGCCAUCGUACCCGAGGCGUAAAGCUCGUCGCUGAGGGGAAGGGC